rnacentral:lncRNA from 1 species
UAGGGAUUUGAGUUUGAGGUUCAAAAUUUUAUAAAAUAGAAAAUAAAUAUUAAAAAUUUUUAAAAUAGUUUCAAAAAGUAUUUUCGAAUUACAAAAAGAAAAUUUCAAAAAAAAAAAUUUCAAAAUUUUUUUUAAAAAAAAAGAUAUUUAUAAAAAAUUUCGAAUUUGAAAACAUAUAAUCUAAAACUAUAUAAAAAAAAAUUAUUUUUUAUUUUUUUAUUUUUUUUUAUUUUUUAUAUAUCUAGGGUAUUAGUGUCCUUUUACCUAUUAAAUGAAACAUUUUGGUCAUUUUCCUCAUUGUGGUCUAUUUUGUGACCAAAACAUAAAAAUUAUCUAUUUAUGAGAAUUGUCCUAUUAUAUUUACUUUAUUAAUAAUAAAAUAAUAUAUAUGUUUAUAUAAUAUUUGGUUAGUAAUA